AGUGGAACUGCUGGGCCUAUGUUAAAUCUUCAUUUAACCUUUGGAGGAACUGCCAUAUUGCUUUCCAAAGUGGCUGCACCAUUUUACAUUCCCACCGGCAAC
rnacentral:pre_miRNA from 1 species